rnacentral:rRNA from 1 species
UACGUAGGGGGCGAGCGUUGUCCGGAUUUAUUGGGCGUAAAGAGCGUGUAGGCGGCCAGGUAGGUCAGCUGUGAAAACUCGAGGCUCAACCUCGAGAUGUCGGCUGAAACCAUCUGGCUAGAGUCCGGAAGAGGAGAAUGGAAUUCCCGGUGUAGCGGUGAAAUGCGCAGAUAUCGGGAAGAACACCCGUGGCGAAGGCGGUUCUCUGGGACGGUACUGACGCUGAGGUGCGAAAGCGUGGGGAGCAAACAGG